AUUGAACGCUGGCGGCAGGCCUAACACAUGCCAGUCGAGCGGAUGAAGGGAGCUUGCUCCUGGAUUCAGCGGCGGACGGGUGAGUAAUGCCUAGGAAUCUGCCUGGUAGUGGGGGAUAACGUCCGGAAACGGGCGCUAAUACCGCAUACGUCCUGAGGGAGAAAGUGGGGGAUCUUCGGACCUCACGCUAUCAGAUGAGCCUAGGUCGGAUUAGCUAGUUGGUGGGGUAAAGGCCUACCAAGGCGACGAUCCGUAACUGGUCUGAGAGGAUGAUCAGUCACACUGGAACUGAGACACGGUCCAGACUCCUACGGGAGGCAGCAGUGGGGAAUAUUGGACAAUGGGCGAAAGCCUGAUCCAGCCAUGCCGCGUGUGUGAAGAAGGUCUUCGGAUUGUAAAGCACUUUAAGUUGGGAGGAAGGGCAGUAAGUUAAGACCUUGCUGUUUUGACGUUACCAACAGAAUAAGCACCGGCUAACUUCGG
rnacentral:rRNA from 1 species